UACGUAGGGUGCAAGCGUUGUCCGGAAUUAUUGGGCGUAAAGAGCUCGUAGGCGGUUUGUUGCGUCGGCUGUGAAAUCCCGAGGCUCAACCUCGGGUUUGCAGUCGAUACGAGCAAACUAGAGUGUUGCAGGGGAGACUGGAAUUCCUGGUGUAGCGGUGAAAUGCGCAGAUAUCAGGAGGAACACCGGUGGCGAAGGCGGGUCUCUGGGCAACAACUGACGCUGAGGAGCGAAAGCGUGGGGAGCGAACAGG
rnacentral:rRNA from 1 species